rnacentral:rRNA from 1 species
AUUGAACGCUGGCGGAAUGCUUUACACAUGCAAGUCGAACGGCAGCACGGACUUCGGUCUGGUGGCGAGUGGCGAACGGGUGAGUAACAUAUCGGAACGUAUCCAAUAAUGGGGGAUAACGAGUCGAAAGAUUCGCUAAUACCGCAUACGCCCUACGGGGGAAAGCUGGGGACCUUCGGGCCUGGCGUUAAUGGAGCGGCCGAUAUCUGAUUAGCUAGUUGGUGAGGUAAAGGCUCACCAAGGCGACGAUCAGUAGCUAGUCUGAGAGGACGACGAGCCACACUGGAACUGAGACACGGUCCAGACUCCUACGGGAGGCAGCAGUGGGGAAUUUUGGACAAUGGGCGCAAGCCUGAUCCAGCCAUUCCGCGUGAGUGAAGAAGGCCUUCGGGUUGUAAAGCUCUUUCGGCAGGGAAGAAACGGUUUUGGAUAAUACCCAGAACUAAUGACGGUACCUGAAGAAGAAGCACCGGCUAACUACGUGCCAGCCGCCGCAGUAA